rnacentral:lncRNA from 1 species
UCAACUGCAUUUUUGUUGUUAUUUUGCUUGCUGCCUGAACCUGGUGUGUAUUUAUUACAGUGUCAACUGCAUUUCAGUUGUUAUUUACUUAUUUUGCUUCCUGUGUGAACCUGGUGUACAUUUGCUAUGGUGUCAACUGCAUAUAUUAUAUGCUAUUUCAAUUAGCCGUUUGCUAUGUUCCAUAUUCUCCUGUGCUUGUUAUUCAAAAACAGCCAAAUCCUGGCCAUUUAAAAAAAAUGCUUCAGAGCCCGUUGCUCUUAGCUGUGGCAUUCCGCUUCACUUACGCAGACCUGUAUUUUGAACAUUAACUAGGGUCAUAACUUGGUGAAAAUCUACGAACGUGCCUUUAAGCUUAAUCUUUUAUCUCUCUGUUUCUAAAUAUAAGCUUUUUUUAGAGAUUUCAAUACGGACUAUAUAUGGAUGUACAUAUGCAUAUUUUAGAGUGUAGGUUCACUCAUUUGCUCCAUAUGUAGUCCGUAUUGGAAUCUCUAAAAAGGCUUAUAUUUAGAAACAGAGGGAGUACAAUGUUUGUGUUGACUGUUACUUAGAUGUCAUCCAAAUAGGAAUCGCUUUCUGAAAAUCUAUUUCCAACCCGCUGUGUUAAAUAGUCCCAUAGGAAACAACAGAGAUAGCUCUGGUUUUUCUGGGAGCUAGCUUCCAUGGGAUAUUCCUCAAGUUUUCUCUAUGCACCUACGUCUGUCAGAUUAUUUUACAGUUACAGAAGCUAAGGUGCAAAACUAACCCGAUCUUAGCAGGUCUCAUCAACCUCUUUUUAGCUAACGAGGCUACGGAGCACCCACAUCUGAACCGAACACAUAUUUUCACUCCCCUUAGAAUUUUUUUGCCUUUUUAGUACCAUCGGAUGUGAAGAGUCCAAUAAAAACUGUGUGCGCUAAACAAAAUUUGCGGUGGCAUCUACUCGUAAAAAACUGACUUGUUGUUGAUCUAAGCAACAAGAUCCUUGAAAAAAGCGCCCACACCGGUAGCUUUUGUCCUUCAACAAGAGAAGGGGUCCGAGAGGCUGCGUUUAACUAUUGUAAUGUUACAUACUCUUGUUAGCGGCUGAGGCUAGUGAUUAUAUGUGAGAUCAUAUUAUUUGGGUCCUAGUUUGGAGGACCAACUUUUAAACAAUGCAGAAACUUGUGCUAAACAUGGAGACUAUGCCCACGAAGAAAUUACUAGAAGCGCCUAAUAUGAUAGUACAUGAGGCAGGAACCAAAUUCAUACCGACAGAGUAAAAAGGGGGGGUGUGAUGAUUACUUAACAUAUGUGGUCGGUCGCGGUUUGCAAGGUCCUCCAAAGGCCAUGAUCAAUCUCUCCCCUCUUGCGUGCUGUCUUGCCAACCAACAAACCAAACAUAUAAAUAUUGAUGAAUGAGAAGAUGAUAAUUUCCAACCGGUAGCAUGCCUUUAGUUUUAUGAGAUGAGAUGUAACAACCUACCAUAUUCAUAUAGAAACAUGAGCAAGGCAACUAGAAAUAGAUUAGGCAUGAGCUGCAAUAAUAAAACACCACUUGCUGAAUUCGGCAUGAAAGUCGGACAGACAGUACAAGAGCUUGCACAUCCACACAUCUUCAUGGAGCACAAAUUUCUUCACAUCACAUACGGGCACUACAUUCAACAUCAACUCGUAUUAUUAACUGGGUUGCUGAUAAACAUCAUCAGUCAAAGUAGGUCCUUGCCGUGCCAUCCUUGACUCCAAAGACCUCCAUGACUCCAAAGACGCCAAGCAAUAUUCAGGGAAACAAAUUAUUAGAAGCAAUCUGCAGAAAUGUUCAACUAAAAUGGAGUAAAGCUUAACCAAACAGGUUCAGAGUGGGUGGGUGGGAUACUUACAAUGAGAUGAGAUGAGAUGAGAUGAGAUGAGAUGAGAUGAGAUGAGAUGAGAUGAGAUGAGACCGCCGAGAUUGUUGUAAAAGUAAACAGAGAUUGCAGCAAAUCUGAUAGGGAUAUUGACCCGAAAACAGCAGAGCAAAUUAUAACUCAUUUUCUGUGGGAGCAAAUUAUACCACAUGAAUGAAUCAAAUCAAAUCAAAUCAAAAGAAGAAAACAGGUCUAAGCACCCUGAUCUGCAACAAACAAGCCAAGGGAUCUGCUCUGCUUGGGCAAUGAAGAUGUUCCAAACUAAUCAACGAGAAAGUUGGAAAAGAAGGGGGAAAAAAGUGCAUAAUCAACGAGAAACAUGCCUAAUAAGACGGUAAUAUUAUAUUACUAGUAGUACAUCUAAGGCACAGCGAAUUGCAAGCCAUAUGACAAGAAGAAUCGUCGCCAUACAUAUGACAAGAGUAAAAACGGAAUUCAGAACUGAGAGGGCCAAGAUUUAAUAAACGAGCAUGCAAGAUGGCGCCUGCACAAGCUAGAUCCGUUGUUUCUGCCUGCGCAUGGAUAAAUCAAAUCAAAAGAAGAAAACAGAUGUGCAUCUUGCAUGCGAUUUGCGGCCAAGGAUUUGUAGAUCUGAGAAACAGAAACCGCCGCAAAAACCAAAAAAAGAAGAAGCUCGCUCUCAUCCUCGCCGGCCGGCCGGCUACCCCUGCAACGGCCCAGCUUCCGGCGACCGGCCUCAUCAUCACGGAUGCGGCGCCGACCCCGUGAAUCCGUGAAUCCCUGGACAGGCGCGCCGAUGGAUGCAGUCCGGUAGUAUCACUGGGCAGAGGGAUGAAGGAAGGCUUCCCUCGGAGCCAUGGCGGCUAGGCUAGGCUAGGGUUUGCUUCUGGGAUGAGGAAGGGGCUCUCUGCUUCUGCUUCUGCUUCUGCGCAAGGGGAGGGGAGGAGACGAGAAGAGAGGAGAGGCUCGGAGCCGAGUACGUAAGCACCUUUCACG